rnacentral:rRNA from 1 species
AUUGAACGCUGGCGGCAGGCUUAACACAUGCAAGUCGAGCGGGGAAGGUAGCUUGCUACCGGACCUAGCGGCGGACGGGUGAGUAAUGCUUAGGAAUCUGCCUAUUAGUGGGGGACAACAUCUCGAAAGGGAUGCUAAUACCGCAUACGUCCUACGGGAGAAAGCAGGGGAUCUUCGGACCUUGCGCUAAUAGAUGAGCCUAAGUCGGAUUAGCUAGUUGGUGGGGUAAAGGCCUACCAAGGCGACGAUCUGUAGCGGGUCUGAGAGGAUGAUCCGCCACACUGGGACUGAGACACGGCCCAGACUCCUACGGGAGGCAGCAGUGGGGAAUAUUGGACAAUGGGGGGAACCCUGAUCCAGCCAUGCCGCGUGUGUGAAGAAGGCCUUAUGGCUGUAAAGCACUUUAAGCGAGGAGGAGGCUACUUUAGUUAAUACCUAGAGAUAGUGGACGUUACUCGCAGAAUAAGCACCGGCUAACUCUGUGCAGCAGCCGCCGUAA